rnacentral:tRNA from 2 species
GCACGCGUGGCUCAGGGGUAGAGCACUCCCUUGGUAAGGGAGAGGUCAUGAGUUCAAAUCUCAUCGUGUGCUCCA